UACAGAGGUCUCAAGCGUUGUUCGGAUUCAUUGGGCGUAAAGGGUGCGUAGGCGGCGCGGUAAGUCGGGUGUGAAAUCUCGGAGCUUAACUCCGAAACUGCAUUGGAUACUGCCUUGCUAGAGUACUGGAGAGGGAACUGGAAUUUACGGUGUAGCAGUGAAAUGCGUAGAGAUCGUAAGGAAGGCCGGUGGCGAAGGCGAGUUCCUGGACAGUUACUGACGCUGAGGCACGAAGGCCAGGGGAGCAAACGGG
rnacentral:rRNA from 1 species